rnacentral:rRNA from 1 species
GGCGGAUGCUUUACACAUGCAAGUCGAACGGCAGCAAUGGACUUCGGUCUGCGGCGAGUGGCGAACGGGUGUGAGUAAUGUAUCGGAACGUGCCUAGUAGCGGGGGAUAACUACGCGAAAGCGUAGCUAAUACCGCAUACGCCCUUCGGGGGAAAGCGGGGACCUUCGGGCCUCGCACUAUUAGAGCGGCCGAUAUCGGAUUAGCUAGUUGGGUGGGGUAACGGCUCGUUCAAGGCGACGAUCCGUAGCUGGUUUGAGAGGACGACCAGCCACACUGGGACUGAGACACGGCCCAGACUCCUACGGGAGGCAGCAGUGGGGAAUUAAUAAUGGGGGAAACCCCGAUCCAGCCAUCCCGCGUGUGCGAUGAAGGCCUUCGGGUUGUAAAGCACCUCUUUGGCAGGAGGUAAAGAAACGGCACGGGAUAAUACCCCGUGCAACUGACGGUACCUGCAGAAUAAGCACCGGCUAACUACGCCAGCAGCCGCGGUAAUACGUAGGGUGCAAGCGUUAAUCGGAAUUACUGGGCGUAAAGCGUGCGCAGGCGGUUCGGAAAGAAAGAUGUGGAAAUCCUUGUAUUUAACUUUUGGAACUGCAUUUUUAACUACCGAGCUAGAGGUGGUCAGAGGGAGGUGGAAUUCGCAGCAGUGAAAUGCGUAGAUAUGCGGAGGAACACCGAUGGCGGCGCAGCCUCCUGGGAUAACACUGACGCUCAUGCACGAAAGCGUGGGGAGCAACAGGAUUAGAUACCCUGGUAGUCCACGCCCUAAACGAUGUCAACUAGCUGUUGGGGCCUUCGGGCCUUGGUAGCGCAGCUAACGCGUGAAGUUGACCGCCUGGGGAGUACGGUCGCAAGAUUAAAACUCAAAGACUGACGGGGACUCCGUACAAGCGGUGAUGAUGUGGAUUAAUUCGAUGCAACGCGAAAAACUCCAUCACCUCCUUGACAUGUCUGGAAUCCCGAAGAGAUUUGGGAGGUUGCAAGAGAACCGGAACACAGGUGCUGCAUGGCUGUCGUCAGCUCGUGUCGAGAUGUUGGGUUAAGUCCUUAACGAGCGCAACCCUUGUCAGCCAGGCUGUUACGAAAGGGCACUCCAUCGAGACUGCCGGUGACAAACCGGAGGAAGGGGAUGACGUCAAGUCCUCAUGGCCCUUAUGGGUAGGGCUUCACACGUCAUACAAUGGUCGGGACAGAGGGUCACAACCCGGCGAGGGGAGCCAAUCCUGAAACCCGAUCGUAGUCCGGAUCGCAGUCUGCAACUCGACUGCGUGAAGUCGGAAUCGCUAGUAAUCGCGGAUCAGCAUGUCGCGGUGAAUACGUUCCCGGGUCUUGUACACACCGCCCGUCACACCAUGGGAGUGGGUUUUACCAGUAGCAGUUAGCCCAACCGUAAGGAGGCGAUUACCACGGUAGGGAUUCAUGACUGGGGUGAAGUCGUAACAAGGUAG